GAGUUGUUAAUGAAGUGUCUAAAGUGAGUUUAAUGGUUAAGUGUACUAAUUGUCUAGGUUUUGGUCAUAUCUCUUUAAAUUGUACCUCUAAACCUUUAGUCAUCCAAAAAUUUAGGGAUAUAGGUAAAGAGGAAUAUUGUAGUGUUGAAGUGUAUGAGCCUAAUCUUGAGGAUUUUAGUGACCUAGAUGACGAGGAUGUGCAAGAAGAGGGACCCAACACAAUGAGUCCCAAUGAGCUUGAGAAUGAGGUUAAGAAAGA
rnacentral:lncRNA from 1 species